UUGUGCAGUGGCAUCUCCGUGUCAACAAGGGGACAGUUGUCUUGAUCAUAAACUCUUCCCUGCACUUAGACACAUGUCUACCACACCACUACACCUGUUGUUAUUUCUCAUGUACUGUAUGCAUCGAGGAAUACAAGAAAAGCAGAGAGUGAAGAGAGAACCGAGAAAGAGACAGAGUUAGAGAGGGGUUCAACUGCUAGAGAGAGAGAGAGGAAGAAGAAGAAAAAAGAGGAGGAGGAAGACAAGGAAACGGGAAAUCUGUAGAUUAUCGUUAUCACAAUCGUCGUCUCACAAUUUCACUUUCAUGUUCAAUUGAGGUACCCAAAGAUGAUUUAGAGAUAUCUAAAGUUGUUAUGGCUGAUUCAUUUCUUUGGAGAAUCUCCAUAUCAAAAGAAGUUAUUGCGGUACCAAAAAAGGAGUUUAGGGAACAUCCCCUCGCUCUUUUCGCUCAAUCACCUCAUAAAGCAAGUCAUCCUCAGAUAAAAAAUCAGCUUACUGCAAUGCCUACUCGAUGAGAUGUGACGGGUUUGUUUUCGUUGGUUACGAAUGUAAAUUUGAUCUAGACGUUAAUUGUGCUACACUGGUGCCCACUACAACCACUGUGCAAGUGAGCAACAAACUCACGCAUCCAUUGAUUCCUUGUGAUAUGAAAGACCCCUUUCAACCACCGCAUCCUCUUCUUCUAUUUCUCGUACAACUCCACAUGUGUUUUACUUUAUAUAUAUAUAUAUAUAUAUAUAUAUAUAUAUAUAUAUAUGCAUUUUUUUGAAAUUAUUUAUUGAAUAAUUUACUUGCAAACAUGCAGAAUUUGAUUAGUUUAAUUAUUUACUCCCAGGAGGCAUAUGUUGACGGAAUUAAGCGCCUGAAAAUAAUGGCUUCAAAAUUACAGGAUAUUCAUUCGUGAGUAACUUUGUAUUACAGCAUUCAUGCUUAUAUGUUAUUUUCUUUGCUUCUCAUCUUUUAGGCCACGUGGAGUUAUCUGCACGUAAAUUUGGUCCAUCAUUGAAGAAGUCGUACUGCAAGCAAAAGAACAUAUUCUAGCAGGGAAUAUUUUCCGGGUUGUAUUAAGUCAACGGUUUGAACGUCUUAAGUCUAUAGAGCACUAAGAGUCGUCAACCCUAGCCACAAGUGAAGAAUACAAGAAUGCAGUACGGCAAGCGAAAGAGCAUAUUCUAACAAGGGAUAUUUUCCAGGUUGUAUUAAGUCAACGGUUUGAUCACCGAACAUUUGCUGAUCCUUUUGAAGUCUACAGAGCACUAAGAGUCGUCAACCCUAGUCACAAGUGAAGAAUACAAGAAUGCAGUACUGCAAGUAAAAGAGCAUAUUCUAGCCGGGGAUAUUUUUCAUGGAUAUUUUCCAUAUUAAGUCAACCAUUUGAACGCCGAACAUUUGCUGAUCCUUUUGAAGUCUACAGAGCACUAAGAGUAGUCAACCCUAGUCUUUAUAGGACUUAUUUGCAAGUUUGUUCCUAAAACUAUAUAAACUUCAUCCAGUUGUUCAAUAUGUUUUGCGAGUACUUGAAUUCCAUGUUAUUAGGCUAGGGGCUGUAUUUUGGUGGCUUCAAGCCCAGAAUUUCUGAAACGUGUAAAAAGGUAGGAAAGCUGGAUCUUCAUGUAAAAUUUGAAAUGUUUUCUUGCUUUGUUUGUAAAGAAAAAAGAAUUGAACAAGGUAAAUUGCUCUUCUUUUUUACUUUGAUGUAUAUUAUGCAAUAAAUAUGUGAUUAUCGUAUCAUUUUUGGGUCUUUGUAAUAAAUUUGUGCUUAUCUUAUCAUUUUU